GCCUCGGCCACCUGAGUCCUGGAAGUGCCUUGAGGUUGGAGGGGCUGUGGAGUGGGGUAGAUGGGCCCAGGGUCUGGGCAGUUGGGGGGGCUCACUCCUG